CCGAAGAAAGGCUCUGUGGCAGACAACUCUCCUCUCCGCAGCUCCCCCACCUCCCAAAGGGAUUCUGCUCCCUCUUCCAAAGCAUGACCCUCUCCCCACCUAAACAAAAGCCCCAGCCGCCCCCCAAGGCGUCAAACAUUUCAGAAAUGUGUGUUGAAGGGAGGGAGAGGGAGCUGCUUCGAGGAUGCCUUCAUUCGGAGCUGCUUCACCUUGUCCUGAGCAGCCACCCUCCCCAGGUCUUCUGCCGGGGCUCCCCCUCCCCAACCACGCCCCGAGCAGUGGGCAUCUCUGGGGCCCUGUCAUUUGUGGUCAGCUGUUGAAGCUCUGACCCAGGGGCUGAGGAGGGGGAAGGGACCGAAUUCCCAUCUCCUCCCCUUUCCUCUCCUCUCCCCCCUCACCACCCAGGGUGGGGCAGUGCCAGCCAGGACAACCUGGCCCUGGCCAGGGCCAAGACUGUGUUGAAACAAGAGGCUAAUUACGUUGCUGAAACUGGCAUCUAAAAAUACAGCAACAGGGCCAUGUGUGUGCCGUGCACAUGGAGGACAGAGACAGGGUGGGUGGGGGGAGCGGGGAGGAGGGAAACUGAGACUCAGGAGAGCUGGAAAUGGGGGUGGAGAGGCAGAGAAGGCGCAGCGGAGGGGAAGAGCGGGGCAAGAAAGGACCAAAAGAGGGAACAGAGGAAAGCAAUGCCACGGGAGAGGAGAGGAGAGCCAACACCAACACGGGGAGGAAGAGCCAGUGUUCCUGAUUCCUGAUUCAGAGCCCUGAAGGCCCCUACCCCAUCCCACCGAUUACAAACAUCCCUAAAACCUGCCCAGGCAUGCAGAGGCCUCCCACUGGGUACCACUGGGUGUGAGAACCCCUACCAGAGAAUGCUCCCCCAUGGACGUCUCCUCCCAUACCCAGCGGAGCCAGUCAGUAUCUGGGACAAGAGAAACUGACCAUUGCCAGGACUUGAUUAAUCCUGCUGAGGACUUUGGGUCUAGGGUGGGAAUUCUUAUAACCUUUGGACCACAUGGAGGGCCUGUGGAUAGAUUCCCAGAUCCAUACAUUUGAACAGAAAAAACGAAUCUGUAUUUUCUGAACCUUCAGUUUCCUUUGUAAGCCAACAUAUUUUAUUUUAUGCACCUAAGAACAUUUUUCUGAACAAAUCAUCAUUCUAAUGCAAAAAAUAAAAAUAAAUCGUGACAACCCCC